rnacentral:lncRNA from 10 species
AGGGAAAUUCUUAUUUAUUAUUAAAGAGACAGGCUCUUGCUGUGUUGCCCAGGCUGAUCUCAAACUCCUGGGCUCAAGAGAUCCUCCUCCCUCAACCUUCCAAAGUGCUGGCCACUGCGCCCAGCCAGGGAAAUUUUUUUUUUUUUAGACAGAGUCUCACUCUCUUGCCCAGGCUGGAGUGCAGUGGUGCAAUCUCGGCUCACUGCAACCUCCACCUCCUGGGCUCAAGCGAUUCUUGUGCCUCAGCCUCCUGAGUAGCUGGCACUACAGAGGCACACACCACUGCACCUAAUUUUUGUAUUUUUAGUAGAGAUGGGGUUUUGCCAUGUUGGCAGGCUGGUCUUGAAUUUCUGGGCUCAAACAUUCCGCCCGUCUUGGCCUUUCGAAGUGUGGGAUUACAGUUGUGAGCCACCAUGUUGGCUGGGAAAUUCUUACAAUCGUUAAUCCUUUAUAUGCAGAAGUGGAAGGUCUCCCAUCAUGGGGCCCUCCUUUUCCUGACAGGGUCAAUAAACUAAAUGAAUCGUGCCCACUUUCUGGGCCAGCAUCUUAACUAUUGGUGUUUGGUUAAUACCACGUUGCACCUGCGUGGCAUUUUGUAGGUCACCAGAUGCACUAGCGUGUUUGAAUCUUGCAGCCAUCCUGUAGGGCAGACUGUAUUAGUCCCAUUCUGCAGAACAGGAUGUGUACCGAGAGGGUAAGUAGCAGACCCAGGGCUACAGUCCUUGUCACCAAAGGCUGAGUCCAGUGCUCUGUAUGGUGCUUUCAGUAUAAACUGAAUCAGAGAUGCUCAUGCAGUGACAAGCCACCUUUGUGCGUGGGGUUAAGCCAGGCCAUCACAGCCGUGGCCUUUGUGAAUAGUUUGUUCUAGUGCGUGGACCGACAAGAGUCAAACUGAGCUGGUGGGGUGGGGUGGUUAGGAUAACGCAGCAGGAAUUAUAAGCAAUAUGACUUUAUUUAGUUCCUUUGGAAACAAAACCCCCCAAAUAAUGCCU